rnacentral:tRNA from 1 species
UGGGAGUAAGUGUUACGGAAGCACAGUCGGCUCCAACCCGACAAGCGCAGGUUCGACUCCUGCACACUCAGCUA